AUCGGCGGAGAAGCCAUAUCGGGAACUGAUAAUGGGCUUGGGCUUGGGCCCAUAGGAGUAGUUGGUUGGGCCAUUGGGCUUGAAGAUGGAGUCAUUGGCAUCAUAGGUGGUGGAGUCAUGGGCAUUGGUGGUGGAGCCAUGGGCAUAGGUGGUGGAGUCAUAGGCAUAGGUGGUGGAGCCAUAGGCAUAGGUGGUGGAGUCAUCAUUGGCAUCGGAGAGCUGCGGCCGCUAGACAUCGGCGGCAUCGACAUUGAGCCAGAAGGAGCCAUCAUGGGAGAUUGAGCUAAAGAGAAAUGAAUUAAAACCAUAGGCAAUGUGACCAAAAGGAGGGCUUGUGAAGAGGCCAUGGUUAUGUGUGUUGAAUAGUGGGUGUUAUGUAAAGUGAUAUAUAGAGAGAGGUAUGUGAGUUGUAAAAGAAUGGGAGAGAAAAGUGAAGGUUCUUUGUGCUAUUGGGGAUAUAUAUUAGAGAUUAUUUGUUUUUAUUUUUGGACCGUUGGAUAUAGUGUGUGACACGUAUCAGUCGAUAGAUAGGUAUGAGAUGCUGAUUUAUUUUCCUCCACAUGUUGAAAAAAAAAAAGAGAUAGAAGAAAAUUCCAAAGUGAAAUUUCUUUGUAGGUACAGAUAGAAUAAUCAAUACACAUGAAAAUGGGACUAUUAUGAUUAUAAUGCAUUUUAUUUUCAUUCUUUAGUGGAACCAUCAAUCGGAUUCACGGGUUGGUUUUUAAGGGGGCCAUAUAUCAAAAUUAUUAGGAAUGUCAUUUAAUGGUGUUUGUUAGUCAUUAAUAUGCUAAAACGAUGAAAUUUUGAAAUGUUAGUAGACUUUUAUAACCAAGUCAAGAUAUAAUUUCAUCAGAAAAAAACAAUUUAUAUGGAAAAGGAUAAAAGACCAUAAUGCUAUGGUACAAGAGAAAAGACAAAUAGGGACCAUUUGUGUUGCAUUUGGUCACACAGGCCUAAUAAGCUCCACGGCCAAUAUUAUGUCCGCACCCACUAACCGACAUUUUUGGUUACCCCAUACUCUUUUCUUUUUUCCUCUCACGAGUACUCUUUGUCCCUCAUUUACUAUUUAUCCAUCUUUUAAAUUAUACUUUUUAAAACAAACAUGUAACAUGUUCUAUACAUAUAUAUAUAUACUUUGAUUUCGUUGUUUUAUUGUACAUUUCUUCAGCUCGUUUGAAUUUAACCGUUAUGAUCGUCCCUUGAUCAAAUGUAUUCUCUCAACUCAUUAGUUCAGGAUCCAGGAAAAUUAGAUGAAAUAGACAAAUAGUACAUGCAUCACUUGAAGUAACUAUAAUUACUAUACCGUUAAAGUAGUUGUAUAGAGAUUUCAAUAUUAUAACGUUAGGGCUCUAAAUAUAUGGGCUCAUUAUAAAUGGGCAUGUAGUCGCAUGAGGCCGAAUCCCAGCUGGCAGAGAAAUGAGCGGGAAAUUUUAUGUACAAAAUGCUCGAAACAAUGUCACACGUAGCGCACGUGCCAUUCUCCCGCCCGUUUCUCCAUUUUCCCCAAAUCUCAAAUUCUCAAUCCCUAGUUUCUCUCUCUCCCCAGAUUCACAGCAUUUGCAUUUUGCAAUGUCUGAAGACUCGGAACCGCGUCAACUCGGGAGAUCGACCGCCGGCGGAGAGCUAAUAGGUCUUGGUCUCACUGAGUCAGACGGCGAGGAGCAUUUCUAUCACCAGAAAGCUUUGGAGUUAUGUCGUCACCUACUCUUCGUUGGCCACUCAGAACUAGUUACAGAUCUUUCUUCACAAUGUACACACUUCCAAGCUUCGCCUGAGCUCGUCAAAGUUCUUUGCUCGAUUCCUAAUUCCCCUGUCUCCCUUACCGGAGACGGCUUAUCCGUGACUCUCUCGCGCGAGUUGCUCUCCGAUCCGGCCUGUUUCGCCUGUAGUUUGGGUGUGCCGGAAAAUGUUUUGUUUGAACAGAUUACGCGUUUCUCGGAUCCGAGAGCUCCCAAGCCUAAGCGAAAUGGUCUCGGGCAUAUGGGAGGUACUAACUUAGCACUUGUUUCAUUUUAGUCGUUAUCUGGCAUCUGAUUUUGUUGUUUAGUAGUCACACUUACAUAGAGAUUCUCUUCUUGAUUAUGGAUUAUUAUGAAAAAUUUCAGAAAAUGAGGAGCAAGAAGAGCUGCAGCUCAUGCCAUUGCCCAAAAGAAGCCGAAAGGAGGAACCAGAUGUAAGUAAUCUCUUUUAACAAAAAGAUGAAUUUCUCAAGGUAUAAUUCAAUUUCAAAAAUGGGGAGUUGAUUCAUUGAUUUUUUUUUUUCUAGGUGAAUGACUACUCUGUAAUGGAUAGCAGAGCUAACGACAUGACAAAUAUUGCCAAUGGGUCCAUGCUUGAGACACUGAAAGCUUUUGAAUCCCAAGCUUCGCUUUUAGUUUUAGGUAGAGAUGGUCGAGAAAUAGGAGCAUUUGACCAAAGUCCUUGGUCUGGUCCACGGACUAGAAUUUUUGGAUGCGAGAUUUUCUCCAAUGCUUGUGUGGAUGUCGAUCCUAUGCACUGCUUGGGGGAACGCAAGCAAGAUUCGCCAUCUCCUCGAGAGGUUGGAUACUGUAAGCAAAUUGAGAUUGAAGAUUUUCAAAUUGUUGAUAACCUAAGAUUAUUCGAAGACGAUGAGGAUAAAAACGAGAAGGAUUUGUUCCAUAAGGGGGAGAUACGAACUCCCGAUGUGCAGUCCGAUCCUGCUGCCCCUUCGAUGCCAUCAGAAAAUGAGUUAAAAUCUGUAUAUAUUGUAGAGGACACUGAAGAUAUGCUUGCCUUGAGUUGUAACCCAUUAAAGCAAGAGGACAACGCUGUAGACAUCUUCAGCACCCCUGUCAAAGAGCUGCCUUUGAUGCCUUCUGCAACAAUAGCUAAUCAAGAUAGAUCCUUGGUACAGAAAACACAGGAUCUGUGCAAAUUAUCGGGAAACAGCAAAGGUUACAGCUGUUCCCCUGAGAAAAAACACACCAGGAAAUGUAAAGCUAUCCAGAGGUCAAAGCAGAAUCUUAACUCCGUUCGACCUAAAGAUCAGAAGGUAGACAUUUCUUUUUUAUCUAGAGUGAGCCCCUUGCAAUUCCGUUUUUUUAUUUAUUUAAACAGCUUUCCAUGUUGCUGAAAGUACUUUUAUACCAACAUUGAGGAUUAAUCCACUAUAUUAAGAUUUCUCAUAUCUGUUGUUUAGGAUGAGUCAAAACAGAACACUUUUCCAGUUUUUGAUUCUUACACUAUUGUAGAGGAAGAAGGCUCAGGUACAUUUUCCUUACAAUUUCAUCUAUAUUCCUGAUUUUGUUGAAACAGCUUAAUUGGUUAUCGGCUAAUGAUUGGUGAAAUCCAACUGUAGGUGGCUACGGGAUUGUUUAUAAGGCAAAGAGGAAAACCGAUGGAAAAGAGUUUGCCAUUAAAUGUAUGAAACAGAAUGAUAUGUUGCUAGAUUUUUUCACUUCGUCACAUCGUUUUUGGUUGGCAAUUUGGUCUCAUGUGUUUUCCAUACAGGUCCCCAUGCUGGUGCUCAGAAAUACUAUGUUAAUAAUGAACUCCGAAUGCUGGAGCGUUUUGGGUAAGUAACAAAGUUUGAUCCGCUAAUGAACCUCCUACAUAUUUAAACCCAAAUAUCUGAAAUUGCCUAAAUGUUGGUUCACUUAGGGGGAAAAACUUUAUAAUAAAGUUUGAAGGCUGUCUUAAGAACGGAGAUUCCGAUUGCAUGAUCCUUGAGCACCUUGAACAUGACAGACCUGAUUGUUUGAGGAGAGAAAUAGACGUGUAUCAGCUACAGUUGUACGGAUACUGCAUGUUCAAAGCUCUGUCAAGUCUUCAUAAGCAGGUAAAGCAGAUGUUGGACUAAAACUUUUGAGCAUUCAUAUUUCAAUCACGCAACUAACCAGUUAUAUUGUUUUCUUUUGCAAAUGUGAAGGGUGUUGUUCAUAGGGAUGUUAAGCCAGGCAACUUUCUUUUCUCUAGGAAGAGUAGCAAAGGCUGUCUCAUUGACUUUAACCUCGCCAUGGUUAGCAUUUUUCUGGCACCCUUCUCUUAUUAAUACUUUUCUAGCAACAUUUAUUGGUUAGUGUUUUGUAUAAUAGAAUUUGAGGUUACGAAACCUGUUUAGUGCUCUUAUAUAAUAUUUAGGUCAGUGUCUACUAGAGGCACUGAAAAGCUUGAGCUGAGCUAUCACAAACGUUUGUGUUCAUAGUUUGUGUUAUGUUCCCACCCACUGAUAUUAAUUUCACUUUCCUCUGUGGCUUAAUUUAGGAUUUGCACCAGAAGCACAGGAGAGCCGGUAAACUUCUCCCCUCAUGCAUUUGGGUUGAAUUAAGUAAAACAAAUGGAAACUAAAGCUAUCCCUUAUAUGUAUAUCAGAUAAAUCAAAAGCAGCUACAGAUCUCCCAACCGCCAGCAAGAAGCAUCAUACUUUGAUUAAAUCUCCUGACACGACCAACCGAGUGACCAACAAAUCUUCUCAGAAAACUUUAGCGCCAAAUAGUCUGAAGAAAGCAGCGGGAAAGAUAAGAGCUCAGACUGACAUGAGUAGAUGGGAGAGGUUCAAUAGCCAAGGCGCGGAAGGGUCUGGCUUAACUUCGGCCAAAGAUGUGACCAGCACAAGGAACCACCCUUCAGGUGAAAAGAGGAGAGAGCCUUUGCCAUGUCAUGGAAGGAAAGAGCUUCUAAACUUUCUGCAAGAGACAAUGUCUGGUUCAAUUCCAAACCACGAAGUAUCAUCCAAAGCUCCUACAUCUAUGAGAAAACGUGUUGCUGCUCAUCCAGGGAAAGCUGAGAAACAGCUUCUUCAUCUGACCCCAAUGCCGCUGCGCUCUAAUGGUCGGCGUGAAGCAGGUGGAUUCCUGGUGUAUAAUUUGACUCUUGUUUUUUGUUUCAGAGUUUAACUUUAACCCUAAGAAAAAAAUCUGACUUACUAGGGGAUGUAAGUAAGAAGAAAGAUGGUCCUUGCUCAGGAACGAAAGGCUACCGAGCACCAGAGGUACGUCAACUGUAACUAUCGCUCACUUUGCUUAUAUGGUAGAGAGAGAGAAUGUUAGUGGGUUUAGGCUUCCGAGUUACUAGUAAAUCCAUUUAUAUAUCAUACAAAUCUUAUGCUUUGAGCUACUUAUUAGAACAUUUUAUGAUGGGAAAGCUAAUUCUCUGGGGCGGUUCUUGGCUGAAUUGGCUUGUGCAGGUUUGCUUAAGAUCUUUGCACCAAGGACCUAAGAUCGACGUGUGGUCUGCAGGAGUUACUCUAUUAUAUCUAAUGAUGGGAAAAACACCUUUUACUGGUGACCCUGAACAGUUAAGAUUUGUAAUUGACUUACUUUGCCAUCACUUCAUUGCAUUCUGUUUUCUUUCUUUCCUUCUUACAACGGCCUCUUGAUUCUCAGGAACAUAAAGGACAUUGCGCAGCUACGAGGCAGUGAAGAAUUAUGGGAAGUAGCCAAGCUGCAUAACCGUGAAUCUUCUUUCCCUGAGGUAAUAAUCGCACCUUAUCACCCUUGUAGACUCUUCUUUGCAUCGAUUGCUGCAUUUGUGUGGCAUAAUAUGGCUAUGUACACAUGGUCGGUUCUUAAAUCUAGAGAAAGAGAAGGUUGAUCUGGCUAAUAUCGCAUGCUCUGUUCUCCUUUACCGCCAGCAUUUGGAUUUAAAUAUCAAAUACUGUAAGAGGGUUUUCAGUUAUAGCGCUUUGGGUCCUAUUGCGGAAAACGGGGUAUAUAUUAUUAUAUACAUUACAUGAUCUGAUACGUUGUAUGGAUAGAUGAUAAAAAAGAGAUGAAUUCACGUAGCAAUUUUGUUUUUGCUCCAGGAAUUAUACGAGUCAAGGUACUUGAAGAGGAUGGAGCUGAGAAAAUGGUGCGAAAUCAACACAAAACGCAGAGACUUCCUAGACGUGAUUCCACGGUCGCUGCUUGACCUUGUUGAUAAGUGUUUGACUGUUAACCCAAGGCUACGAAUCGGCGCAGAGGAUGCUCUCAAGCACGACUUCUUUUAUACAAUCCAUGAAAAUGAAACCCUUAGAAAACAAAGGCUCCUAAAGCAGCAGCAAACGGGAACGCAGCCUCCAGUGGUGGCUAAUUCAGUAGGCCAACCGCUAAGCUAGAAAUCACAAAUGUAAAUUAAGUAAUAACAAAAUAUUAUAUGAAAGCUUCACUCCACAGGCCACACCACAAAUCCCAUAGUAGUAUAUGUCUAUAUGACUAGGGAACAUAUCAUAUUUGUUAUUAGAAGCAAGUCUAACUUCACUUGGGCCUUAAAUAAAUUUCGUGUUGGGAAUUGAUAUCAUUCAGUAAAAGUCCAAAAGUCUCUCGUCUGCGAAAUGGAAGAGAGUAAUGUCAAGUUUGUUUCUCACAGACUCACCCUAUGAAUUGCCGUGCAGCGUACGGAUCUUCUUAUUUUCUCUCAAUCUCUUCCUGUGACAGGAUUCUUCAUCACUAAUCUGCAACGAAUACUGGUUCACUUCCAUGGCGUCUUCUUCUUCUCGUUCCUGGAGAUACGAUGUUUUCCCGAGUUUCAGCGGUGAAGUUGUCCGCAAAUCAUUCCUCAGCCAUCUUCUGAAGGAGCUUGACCGCAAAUCAAUCAAUGCAUUUAUAGAUGAUGGGAUCGAGAGAAGCCGCCCGAUCGGCCCUGAGCUUUUAUCGGCGAUUAGAGAAUCGAGGAUCUCAAUCGUCGUCUUCUCAAAGAGUUAUGCUUCUUCCACGUGGUACCUGAAUGAAUUGGUGGAUGGAGAUCCACAAGUGCUAUAUGGAGUUUGACCAAAUGGUGAUUCCACAGCGUUGACCCUUCGGAAGUUCGAAAACAUACCGGAGAAUUUGGAAAGGUGUUUAAAGAGACAUGCGACGGCAAAACGGAGGAUCAGAAGCAAAGGUGGAUGCAAGCUCUCGUAGAUGUAGCAAAUAUGGCCGGAGAGGAUCUUCGGAACUGGUAUAAACUAUAAACCUUGUGUUAUCAUUCCAUAGUUCGUGUCGUGCAUUGACUUCGAUUGUGCUUUUAGGGCAGCUCUUUAAUGUCACAAUUUGUUAUUAGGUGUAACGAAGCCAGCAUGAUUGAAAAGAUAGCCGAUGAUGUUUCGAAUAAACUUAUCACAACAUCGGAUUGUUAUGGCGAUUUGGUGGGGAUUGAAGCUCAUUUAGAAGCAAUGAGCUCAAUAUUGUGCUUGGAAUCCGAGGAAGCUAGAAUGGUAGGGAUUUUGGGGCCUUCUGGGAUUGGUAAGAGUACCAUAGGAAGAGCUCUUUUCAGUCAACUCGCUAGCCAAUUCCAACUUUUGUAACUUAUAAAAGAACCAACCAGGAUGACUACGGCAUGAAGUUGUGUUGGGAAGAAAAUUUUUUAUCAGAGAUUCUUGGUCAAAAGGACUUGCAGAUAUACCAAUUAGGUGCGGUGGAGCAACGGUUAAAACUCAAGAAAGUUCUCAUUGUUCUUGACGAUGUUGAUGAUAUAGAGCUCCUAAAAACCUUGGUUGGGCAAACGGAAUGGUUUGGAUCCGGGAGCAGAAUUAUUGUGAUCACUCAAGAUAGGCAACUUCUUAAGGCUCAUGAGAUUGACCUUAUAUAUGAGGUGAAGUUCCCAUCUCAAGAUUCUGCUCUCAAGAUGUUAUGCCAAUCUGCAUUUCGGCAAAACUCUCCACCUAAUGGUUUAAUGGAAUUGACAGUUGAAGCUGCCAAGCUUGCCGGUAACCUUCCUUUGUGUCUCAGUGUCUUGGGUUCGUCUUUAAGAAGAAAGGACAAAAAAGAGUGGGAGGAGAUGCUGCCUAGACUCCAAAAUGGUUUGGACGGGAAGAUUGAGAAAAUAUUAAGAGUCGGCUACGAUAGAUUAGAUGGCAAAGACCAAGAGUUAUUUCUCUUCAUUGCAUUUGCAGGUUUAUUCAAUGGUUUGCAAGUCAGUUACAUCAGAUUAAAUGAUGUCAUUGAUGUGACAAUCAGUGUCAGUGACAUCAAAUGCUUGCUCGGAGAUGGUGUUACCACUGGGCUUACAGUGUUGACUGAUAAGUCCCUCAUACGUAUAACACCGCACGAAACUAUAGAGAUGCACAAUUCGCUACAGAAGUUGGCUAGAGAAAUUGGUCGUGCAGAGUCUAUAAACAAUCCUGGAAAACGACGAUAUCUGGUGGAUGUUGAGGACAUUUGCGAUGUUUUUACGGAUAAAACCGUAAGUUUUCUCGCAUAUGCUUUUAAUGCUCGGCUUUAUAAAAUUUAAGCGUUAUUUGGUGAUUGAUAGAUAAACUUUUACGAUUGUUCCCACCUGCUUUAUUUGAGCGCGGGGCUCAGAUGUCAUAAGGAGAAAAAAAAAAUCUCGCCUGCCAUAAAUCAUUGUGUAUUGACGUUUUUAGCCUUAAUGAACUGAUUAUAAAAUUAAAUAAAAUCGUUUAUUUUUAAAAAUAAAAAUAAAAGCUGCAAAUAAGCUUCUUCUUCCCCGAGUUAGGUUUCCGUACACAUCCGCCGCCGCCGCAGAGAGCUUGAUUCGAACCACCGUCGUUUGCUGGUGCCGGCUCAUUUUUUUUGUUUAACUACUCUUUCUUAUCCUGCCAUUUGUGUGAGAAGACUUCGAAAAGGUAUGGUGGUGUGUAUUUUGGAGAUUUAUAAAUUAGAGUUUUUUUUUGUUUGUUUGGUGGUCGUUUAACUAUGUACAUUGCCUAAGUUUGUUGUUUAUUGGUUAAGUUCUCUUCGAAUCGAUGUUAAUUUGUCGAUUUUUAGUGUUGAAUCUGUUUGGUAGAUGUGAAACGAGGAUGUGAAACCAAAGAUUUUAGCCAAGAAAGUUUGGGAAUUUAGAUAACUGGUACAAAAGGUAUAAGUAAAAGAUACGGGACAAGUAGUACAAAUGGUAGAACUGAUAAUUAUGGGACAACUAGUACAAGUCUCUGUUAAGACUGAUAAUGUGGGACAACUAGUACAAAUGUUAUAGUGAGAAAUUCGGGACAACUAGUAUAAAAGGUAUAACUGUGAAACGUAAUUGGUAAUAUUAUUUUUUAUUUGCUGCGUAUACCAGGAUAUAAUGAGCAUUGGCCACACCAACAUAAAUUUUGAGUAUGGAGGAUAUUAUUCACGGAACAAACGACCAACAGGUGUAACCCAGGAGUUUAGUUCAGGAACAAACGACCAACAGGUGUAACCCACGAAGAACUGGACAACUGUGUUUUUUUCAUCUAAUCAUGUUUUAGGACAUCUAGACAGCUAUGUACGUAUGUUGUCAUUUUCAUUUUUUUCAUAUGUUUAGAUAUCGGGAAAACUGGACAACUAUUACAACUAUGUUGUAUUUGUGAAGUACAAUUGACGUUUCAUAUGUUUGAAAUUGGGACAACUGGACAACUAGUACAAUUAUGUUGUAUUUGUGAGGUACAAUUGACGAAUCAUAUGUUUGAAAUUGGGACAACUGGACAACUAGUACAACUAUGUUGUAUUUGUGAGGUACAAUUGACGAAUCAUAUGUUUGAAAUUGGGACAACUGGACAACUAGUACAACUAUGUUGUAAUCAUAUGUUUGAAAUUGGGACAACUAGACAACUAGUACAACUAUGUUGUAUUUGUGAUGUACAAUUGACGAAUCAUAUGUUUGAAAUUGGGAUAACUGGACAACUAGUACAACUAUGUUGUAUUUGUGAUGUACAAUUGACGAAUCAUAUGUUUGAAAUUGGGACAACUAGUACAACUAUGUUGUAUUUUUGAUGUACAAGUGACGAAUCAUUUGUUGGAAAUUGGGACAACUGGACAACUAGUACAACUAUGUUGGAUUUGUGAUGUACAAUUGACGUUUCAUAUGUAUGAAAUUGGGGUUUAGUACAAACCCUAGACAACUAUGAAAGACAUCUAAAAUGAGGUUUUAAAGAAGCUUCAGAAAAUGGGAUAACAAAUUAUAAGUUUAGAGUCAUAAUAUUGGUUUGACACUAAACACUCCUUAUAAAACAAGAGAGUCUUCACUAAUACUCAUCACAUGAUGAUGGAUAAAUGCAAAUGUUUGGAUUUAAUCAAAACGGAUUAAUCAGGACUUUUUAAUUGUGGUAUGAAACUUCAAACAAAUAUGAACAACUACAAUAUGUGGUAUAUGGUCAUGGGUCAACUGGAAAUAUUUGAAAAAGCUUAAAGUACAACUCUUACAAAUAUUGGACAACAAUACAAGUACGUACAACUAUAUGAUAACCCUUAUCAUAUUAUAUUUGCACGUGAAGCACAUGUGUUUACUAUGGCGGCAAAAUAAUUAAAUAGUUUUUAAAAUCUCUUUUCUUUAAAUUGUUCUUCCUCAUAUUCUACUGAGAACUUCCUCCUUUUUUAGGGUUUCAGCCGCAGAGCAAUUUCACAAGAUUAAGAUAAUGUCGAAGAAGAAAUCUUCCUAAAAAAGACUGCCUUUCCGCCGAAGGAUUACGGCAUGACCACCAGGUGGGGGCCCGAAGUUAAUGGAGUCCGCACCAUUCUUCCAUGUCCCAUACAGAUGGGAAUUCCCAAGGUUUGCCACCACGGAAUUGCUCCAAUUGGCUGUUUAACCAACCAUUCAGCGUUAGAUAGGGGACGUAGGUACUUUGGUUGUUUUUAUGGUUGCCAUAGUUGAAGAGAUUAAAAUGGUAAAAGAAACUCAAGAGGAGAUGAAGUCUUUGUUUGAUGUCAUUAUCUCGAGAAUUGAAGCUCUUGAGGCUGCUGUGACCAAGAAGAGUUGCUCGAAGGAAGUUUGAAGCUCAAGAUCGUUUGUUGAACCUUGUCCUACAUCGUUGUCUUUGUUUCUUGAACCUUGUUGUCCUUUAUUGUCCUACAUCGUUUAACUAUGUUGUCCUUUAUUGAACUACAUUGUUAUCCUUUACUGAACUACUUUGUUGAACCUUGUUGUCCUUUAUUGUACUAAUUUGUUGAACCUUGUUGUCUUUUAUUGUCCUACAUCGUUUAACUUUGUUGUCCUGUAUUGAACUAUUUUGUUGAACCUUGUUGUCCUUUAUUGUCCUACACCGUUUAACCUUGUUGUUCUUUAUUGUCCUAAAUCCCAAAGAAUUGACCAUUAUUGUCCUAAUAUGUCCCAAAUCCAAACAAAUGUCCAAAUUCGAAUAUCAAACAUAAAAUCCACAACAUAAACUAAACAUCCGCAAACAACAUAACCUGUAACUUAAAAGAAAAACAUAACAUCCAGAAAACAAGAUAAACUGCAACAUCCGACACUUCUACUUCGAUAACAUCCAGUCUUCUGCUCUUGUUCUUCACCCUCCUGCUCUUGUUCUUCAGCCUCAUCCUCUUUUUCAUCAGCCUCCUGCUCUUGUUCUUCGGCCUCCUGCUCUUCUUCUUCAGCCUCAUCAUUUCCCUCCUCUUGUUCAUCAGCCUCUUCAUUUCUCGAAUCUUGUUCAUCACCCUCCUCCUUUCCCUCCUCUUCUUCAUCACCCUCCUCCUUUCCCUCCUCUUCUUCUUCACCCUCCUUUCCCUCCUCUUCUUCUUUGCCCUCCUCCUUUCCAUCGUCUGCUUCAUCACCCUCAGCCUCGUCUUCUUCUUCCAUGGGGUUUAUCGUUUCGGUUUCAUCUUCUGUGGGGAUUUUUUGGGCUGCGGUCUCCUCGAUAGGAUUCGGAGAGGUUUCUUUCUCCAUUUCUGUUUCUGAACUACAAACAUCUUCGCUUGUCUUUGUCGCGGCUUCGGUGGGAAUAGGGUUUACAACGGCUUGAGGAAUAUUUCCUUUCUCUUUAUCGGCGGCUUCAGGAUUUACUUCAGAUUCUCUCGCUGCGGCUUGAGAAUGCGAUUCCGUUUUAGGCAACGUUUUCCGACUUUCAGUUGACUCAUACUCGACGCCUUUUUGUUUCACACGAGUCAUGGAGAAGUCGUAACGAACCGAAGAUGGAGAAAUCGAUUAAAACGGAAGUUGUAGAUGGUGGAGUGGAAAUAAAACGAACGCAAUCGGUUAGCUUCUAUCAACACUCGCCGGAUUUUACGCCGGAAAACUCUCUCAAAUCUUUUUUCGAAUUUCAAUUAACUGUGUGGAGGUUUUUUUCCAAGAACUGAUAAAAUGGUAAAGUAAAUUAGGGUAAAUAAAAAGAAAUGCGAGUCGAAUCCGAUUUUAAUUGGGUAGGUUUUCAAAUGCCCAGAUAUUGUUGUAAUUAACGAGACAUUCAUGUAUAAGGUAAUAAACAACCAUCUUUUUGCUAUUUAAAAAAAAUUAAAAAGGAAUUGAUUAUACGAACGAUGGCAUUGGGGCUCUUUCUUCAGCGAUUUAUGGCAUUUUAGCAUUUGAUUCGCUUUAUUUUAACACUGUUACAAUUGUUUUUUUUUUCCUGUUAACUAACAGUUACAAUUGUUAAGAUAAUAGUUUUCGUGUGAUUUUUUUUUUCAGGGCACAGAAGCUGUAGUAGGAAUAUAUUUCGACACAUUAGAAAUCAAAGAGCCAUUUUCAAUAGAUGAAAAAUCGUUCGAAGGCAUGCGUAAUCUCCAAUUUCUAAUAGUUCGAGGGUCUCCACGGGGUAGAUUGCGUCUACCUCAAGACCUCGUUUAUUUACCCCGUAAACUCAUAUUGCUAAAGUGGGAUGGUUAUCCAUCCAAGUGUUUGCCUUGAACUCAGAAUGGAGAAUAGUUUGCUUGAGAAGCUGUGGGAAGGAAUUCAGGUACUAUAGUUUUAAAUUUAUUUCUAAGUUUCAUACGGUGUUACUAUUAGAACAAAUAACGGUCUUAUUUUUCUAUAUAUAUUGUUGUUAAAAGUUUAUAGAAUAUGUGUUCAAAAUGAUUUUGAACCUGUGCAUUUAUUUUUAUUUUCCUGUUUGUUUUCAGCCACUUGGAAGCCUCAAGCAAUUGAUUAUGAAUUGGUCCACAUAUUUGAGAGAACUUCCAGAUCUCUCUAAGGCCAUAAACCUCGAGAAAGUGUAUCUUGAUGGAUGCAAAUCUUUGGUGACAUUUCCUUCCUCGAUUCAGAAUCUCCUGAAACUGAGAGAUUUACAUUUGGAAAAUUGCACAGAGCUAGAAAGUUUUCCAACUCUUGUCAACUUGAAAUCUCUCGAGUACCUCAAUCUCCGAGGAUGCUCCCGGUUGAGAAAUUUCCCUCAGAUUUAUAUGGACAGUUCACAUGGAAUUAGCAUCGAAGUAAAAGACUGUUUCUGGAACAACAAUCUCCCUGGACCCGAUUAUCUCGGUGGCCUUAUGAGAUGUAUGCCUUGUAAAUAUCGACCAGAACAUCUCGUUCGUCUUACAGUGAAAGGCAACAUGCUUGAGAAGCUAUGGGAAGGCGUCCAGGUACAUUGUUAAUGUUUGAAUGUCAUAUGAUUGAAACAUAACAAAAUGUUUGGUUGUUCUGUUUCAGUCGCUUGGAAGUCUCGUGAGGAUGAAUCUGUCAGGAUCUGUAAACCUGAAUGAAUUUCCAGAUCUUUCAAAGGCCACCAAUCUGGAGCGUUUAGAACUCAACUAUUGCCAUAAUUUGGUGACUGUUCCUUGUACAAUUGAGAAUCUCAAGAAAUUGGUAAAGUUGGAAAUGAAAGGAUGCAUAAGGCUGGAGGCUCUUCCAACCGAUGUCAACUUGUCAUCUCUCGAAACCCUCGAUCUCAGUUGGUGCUCAAGUUUGACAAGUUUUCCUCAAAUUUCAUGGAGUGUGAAAAAACUCUAUCUAAAUGACACUGCCAUUGAACAAGUUCCCUGCUGUAUAGAGAAAUUCUGGAGGCUCCUUGAACUAACGAUGUGUCGUUGCAAGAGGUUGAAAAACAUCUCCCCAAACAUUUUCAGUCUGAGCCGUCUUGUGAAGGCAGACUUUUCAGACUGUGAAGGAGUAGAGACGGCAUUGAGUGAUGCAACUCCAGUGGCAACAAUGUCAACGGAGGAUCAAAUUCCUUCUAUACCAUUACACACAAAUGCCUAUAGAAGGGAAUAUUUUGAGUUCAAUAAUUGCUUCAAAUUGGAUAGAAAUGCGCGGGCACUCAUCCUACGAUCAUACGUGGCGCCUACAGUCUUACCAGGUGAAGAAGUGCCUGCGUAUUUCACGGAACAAGCUUCUGGAACUACCGUAGCUGUCAAGUUACCUCAGAGCUUUCUUUCUCAAGAACACCUCGCAAUUAAGGCUUGCGUCGUGGUCGGCAAGGGUUCGCAUUCAUACUUAGGGUUACGCUGGCACUUCAGAGGCGAAGAGCAUUGGGACACAAUAUUUGAAAAUCUGCCGGGGUCUUUUAAGAGGGAUCAUCUGGUUUUGCUUUCCUUCAAGUUCCGGCCUUCACUUCGUUUGGGUUUGAGUGACUUGAGUCCAACUAAUUUUCACUUCGACGAUGUUGAGUUUGAGUCUUCCACCAUCAACCCAUCCUCUGGCACCUUCUCACCGUCGGUCCAGAGGAUAACAGGAUGUGGUAUAAGAUUCUUGAAUCGGUCUACUACACGUCGUCGUCUAUCUAAAUUGGACUACUACUACAACGAUGUUGUCUCUGAGUUCUUCUUCAACCGAACAUUAAGAGAGGAUGCUGAGUACUUCUCUGGAAGAUGAAUCUGAUGAUGGAAGCUCUGGAACAGAGUACAACCAAAAAUCUAUACAAAGUUGUUAUCAAGAAAACAAUCUGUACAAAAUGUGAUGUUGUAGGGAUUGUGAGAAGAAAGAACGGAUGCGGGUAAAGCUUUUUGAACUCAAAAUUAUAAGGGUAUCUCUUGAUCUUUUUUUUCAGGAUCAAUAUCAUAGGUCCAUAGGGAUGAACUAUUUAAUAGACUAGAUCGUUUGGUUUUAUUAUGUAGAUUACAUUAAAAGAAUACAUGUGGGAUGUGGCGAUAAAGUAGCGGACACAGGUAUUGACGCCUCCAAAUAUAGAAUUUCUUCUACAAGUAAGAUACCGUUAGUUUCUUCUAGCAACUUUCAUGUCCAUGGAGCAUCCCUGUAUCUAUCCCUUUCUCCUUCUAUUCCAUGUCUGGAGGGGCAAGUUUUGUCUGUUGAUCCCCGAGAUAACUGAACAACUAGAUAUAUACAGAAACACUCACCGUGGAUCCUUUGUCGCACCCAGAGCUUACCAACUUUUUUUUACGGUAAGUGAAACAUCUUACAGUUCUGUUUUGUUCUAUAACAUCUUGCGAAUUGCGAUCGACCGUGGCUAUGCUGAUCUUGCCAAGACGUUUUCGUAGUUUUUUACGCAAUCCAUUUUUCCCUGCAGGUGAUGGUGAACUUCUCGAGAACCAGAACCUGUUUACGCACUCUAUUCUUACUUCUUUGUGUUACUGUUUCCCUCUUUGAGAAUUUCGCUUUUCAUGAAAGAAUAAACAUCUUUCAAAUAGCCACAAUUCAGCACAUUCUGGAAAAUUUUCUUUAGCAGGUUUUGUUUUGUACCAUAAAUCUAUCGGUUUUUAGUUGGAAAUUCGUUGAAUUUGUGAGCUUGGGUUUUACAUACUUGACUCGGGUAGUUUUUCUUUCCUUCUAACAAAGCAAUGAAUAAAUCAGGAUUUGGCCAAACUAAAAAUGUAUAAAAAAAAAUUCACUAGUUCUAAAUGGCAAGACCCUCUUCAUCAUCAGCAACAUUUGGAUCGCUGUUUCCAUGACGUUUCCUACACUCGCAGUAAAAAACAGUGACUACAACAUAACUCAGCACCACCUCAGCACCAUACAUACAAAUCAACUUCCACCCGUCUAAGCCACCGCUCACCACCACCGACCUCCACCACGACCCUGAGCUCGAGUCUACAUCUAGCUCCUUGGCCAGCUUCUCCAUCCCAUGACCAAUGAAACUCGAAAGAAACACAAAUACACCCGCCAAAGCCAAUCCAGUUAUCCUCCUCCCUUUCAUCAGAGAAUUUCCUUCCUUAAUCGCAUCAAAACCGUAUCUUUCUUCUAUCACAGAGACGACAAGGCCAAGCCCUGUUAUAGCCAUUAUGUAUACCUCAACGCCGAGACUGAGAACCGUGAUGAGGUAACGCAAUGUGGGUGUAUAACCCAAGAGAGCUGAUAGAAACAUGGGAAUCGGAGAGUAGAGGAAGAGCAGACCAUAGACAACAAUGGAAGUUGCAGUUACUCGCAUCCACGAGGACUUCACUGAUGCAAACGAUGACUUCAGAGACGUGUUUAGGCCGUUGUGUGAGAAGGAAGUUGAUGUGAUGACGGUUAUGGAUGCGAUACAGGAGAGGAUGAAGGACGGGACGAAAUAUCUGGAUUUGAGGUGUAGAAGCGAGACAGCGUCUUCUCUAGACUCUUGCCAGAUCUGUCUAGCUUCGAACCUUGUGUGCACGACGUUGGCCAGGGCUUCUAGACGGAAGACAUGGUUUUUAAGACGAAAGGAGGAGAGAGUUAGGGAGAGGUGUAAGGCUGCGAGAGGGAUUGCUACAAAGGCAAAGACUGGGAAUAAUAUGUGUUUGUUUCUCAAGAGAAUCAUGAAGGAGUCUAGGAGUGUUGUGGUGAUCCGCGUGGAAGAACCAGGUCGCUUUACUUCAAUCAUGAUAUCAAAAGGCACAUAGAAGCCUGCUGCUUAAAGCUUCAACCAAUGUUGGGACAACUCGAAACAGAGUAGAUACACUAUGCUUCUAGAGAAUGUCUUGUAUGAGGCCUG
rnacentral:lncRNA from 1 species